UUAAUUCCGGAUAAUUAAUUGCAAUCAACUGAUUGGAACAAAUUUACUUUAAUUUACUAAUGGACUUUCCAUGAAAUUUCCGAUUUAUUAAUAGAAAUAAGUCCGAUUUAAUAAUAUUUAACCGAGGAACUGUUCGUGUAGUAGUGGCUGUUGGCGCCGUUAUUCAAAUGCCCAUCAAACAUGAGUCACUUGUCUUUAUCUAUGAGUUAGUUUUAAGCAUAGAGUAAGUAAAAUAAUUUUACUUUCUCUAGAGAGCAUAGAGACAAGCAGACAAGCAAGACAAAGGUAUUAAGACAGAAACUAUACUAACCCCAGAUUUAUUUUUGAUAAUAUUAUGUAACAACUUACGUGCGUGUUGGAUUUAUUUAAGGAAAAUCAGCCACCAAGGUGAGACUUGGAUUGGAGGAAAAGCUGUAACGUUGCUGGCGCUUUGAAGAUAUAUUCUCUAUAAGUAAUUGUAAUGUACAAUAUAUACGUAUUGAUAAU